UCUGCACAUGAUGAUAAAGAUAGACAGGGACAUCAGAUCUCAAACAGAGAAUGAUGACUUCGUCUAAUGGGAAUCUCUCUGAUGCAAU
rfam:Lupinus angustifolius cultivar Tanjil contig_17014, whole genome shotgun sequence.